AGCUAAACGCCAAUAAAAACUCGGGACUUAAAAGCUUCAGUGAGCUUCUUUGGCUGGCAAUGCUCUGUUUUCUGUCACACCGAUAUGCCAGGAGGGCAAUGGGUCCCUUCGGAUGAUGACUAUGGGAAGCGGACGUGGGCCCCAGGGACUCGGUAGCUAAGCUAACGGACUUCAGAACUUCUCACGGCGAUGCGAGGACACACUGGGCACAGGAAAAUGGGACGGCAGAGCGAACGUCCACAGAGACCCCCGAAACCCACGUUUGAGGACAAAAGGCUGUGGGACUACGAAAUCCAGAUUUUAAACAAACAAACAAAGUCACCAGAACUCUGUGUCACUCAUUUAAGCUCAAUUCCGGGUCUUCAGGAUACUGAGCACGCGCGGGCGGAAGAUCCCGGACAGAGGAAGGUGGCCAAAGUAUUCGAGUUUCACCUUCAGCAACAGUCCUUUCAAUGAAUAUUCAAGACUGA